AUGACUCGGAGGCGGAGCAGGCCGAGCGGCGGUGCGGGCAGGCGCGAGCGGGCUCGGGCCGCGGGGCCGCAGAAGCCCCAGGCGCCCGAGCCCCCGCCGCCGCCAAGCCUGGAGGCGGGAGCGGGUGCAGGCCCCCCGGAGGCGCCGGCGGAGCCCGACCACGACGGCCCCAGGGAGGAUGACGAACCCAAUCUGGUUCCCGGCCCGCAGGGCAGAAGAGGAAAGAAACUAACGGGUAUUGCGCACCUACUUUGUGCCAGGCCCAGGCCAGGGAUCCCGGGUGCAAGGGGCACAAGUUUGCACACAGUGGCCUGGCUUGCCAGCUGCCCCAGCCCUGCGAGGCAGAUGAGGGGUUGGGUGAGGAAGAGGAUAGCAGCUCUGAGCGAAGCUCCUGCACCUCGUCCUCCACCCACCAGAGAGAUGGGAAGUUCUGUGACUGCUGCUACUGUGAGUUCUUCGGCCACAAUGCGGAAAAGGAG
rnacentral:sRNA from 1 species